AAAUAUAAUAGUAAUAACGAUGAUAAUAAUAAUUGCGCGUAUAUUUGUAUACGAGUGUAUACGGACACGUGAACGCGAAAUGUGAUUUACGACCGUGCGGAGUUGGCGCUGAACAUCGUCGUCGCCGUCGCCACCGCCACCGCCACUGCCUUUUUCUCGUGUACAAUACGAACGGCUUUUUCGAAGCGGUCGCGUAUUUUCCGCGGACGAACCAGA